rnacentral:lncRNA from 1 species
CACUCCAAGCUCAUCCAGGGGCAACAGAAGAAGCCCUUUGAGGAGCACUGGAGGAAGCACACCCUGUCCUAUGUGGACGUCAGCACUGGGAAGUGCACAGCCAGAGAACAACACAUCACACACAAGAAACAGUUGUGCUCAUGUGAUGGGGGCCUCAGCACUAGGAAGGAGUGGACUGUUGGCGCACGCAGCAGCUUGAAUAAAUCUGAAAGUCACUACGCUGCGUAAGAGAAGCCAAAUAAAGCGCAUGCUGUGUACAGAGGGUGUCGAGAAUGUGUCCUACGUGACGGAAAGCAGAUCCGUGGUUCCCUGCAGACUGGCAGGAGCAGAUUCCAAAGGCACAGGAAGAAGCUUGCAGCUUGCCUGUUCACUCUGGCUGGUCAUAUGCAGAAAACCGAAACUAGACCCCUUUCUGACACCUUAUAUAAAAAUUAACUCAAGAUGCAUUAAAGAUUUAAACGUGAGACCUAAAACCAGAAAAAUCCUAGAAGAAAACCUAGGCAAUACCAUUGAGGACAUAAGCAUGGGCAAAGACUUUCAUGACUAAAACACCAAAAGGAAUGGCAACAAAAGCCAAAAUUGACAAAAGGUUUCCUUAACGACAACAAAAAAGGGAGUAAUCCUACCUACUGUAAGAGUCAUGACUCUUGAUUGCAGCUGACAGAAACUCAUGACAGCCUGGUUUAGAUAAAGGGGGAGAGAAGGACUGGAAGAAUCUUGGAGUUGGGAAUGUCGCACGUAAUUGAAGGAAGAACAAGAAAACUAUAGCAGCUAUUCCCAACCCCAGAACCUUUGCUGUCUUGGAACAGAUCACCACUGCAAGAGGGGAAGUUGCUACUGUGAUGAAUUCUGCCAUGUGGUACCAGACUGCUACCCAGACCACAGUGUCCUCUGCAACCCUCCUUCUCAGAUGACCAAGAUGGUGCUGCAGAUGGUGCUGAGGAUGGAGAACCCACC